GCAAGUCGAGCGAACAGAUGAGGAGCUUGCUCCUCUGACGUUAGCGGCGGACGGGUGAGUAACACGUGGAUAACCUACCUAUAAGACUGGGAUAACUUCGGGAAACCGGAGCUAAUACCGGAUAAUAUAUUGAACCGCAUGGUUCAAUAGUGAAAGACGGUUUUGCUGUCACUUAUAGAUGGAUCCGCGCCGCAUUAGCUAGUUGGUAAGGUAACGGCUUACCAAGGCAACGAUGCGUAGCCGACCUGAGAGGGUGAUCGGCCACACUGGAACUGAGACACGGUCCAGACUCCUACGGGAGGCAGCAGUAGGGAAUCUUCCGCAAUGGGCGAAAGCCUGACGGAGCAACGCCGCGUGAGUGAUGAAGGUCUUCGGAUCGUAAAACUCUGUUAUUAGGGAAGAACAAAUGUGUAAGUAACUAUGCACGUCUUGACGGUACCUAAUCAGAAAGCCACGGCUAACUACGUGCCAGCAGCCGCGGUAAUACGUAGGUGGCAAGCGUUAUCCGGAAUUAUUGGGCGUAAGCGCGCGUAGGCGGUUUUUUAAGUCUGAUGUGAAAGCCCACGGCUCAACCGUGGAGGGUCACUUGGAACUGGAAAUACUUGAGUGCAGAAGAGGAAAGUGGAAUUCCAUGUGUAGCGGUGAAAUGCGCAGAGAUAUGGAGGAACACCAGUGGCGAAGGCGACUUUCUGGUCU
rnacentral:rRNA from 1 species